rnacentral:rRNA from 1 species
UACGUGGGGGGCAAGCGUUGUCCGGAUUUACUGGGCGUAAAGAGCGCGUAGGCGGAAGCUUAAGUGGGGCCUGAAAGCCCCCGGCUCAACCGGGGAGGGUGGCUGCAAACUGGGCUUCUUGAGGGCGAUAGAGGAGAGUGGAAUUCCUGGUGCAGCGGUGAAAUGCGUAGAUAUCAGGAGGAACACCGGUGGCGAAGGCGGGUCUCUGGGCAACAACUGACGCUGAGGAGCGAAAGCGUGGGGAGCGAACAGG